UACGAGGGGUGCAAGCGUUACUCGGAAUUACUGGGCGUAAAGCGUGCGUAGGUGGUUUGUUAAGUCUGUUGUGAAAGCCCCGGGCUCAACCUGGGAAUGGCAAUGGAUACUGGCAAGCUAGAGUGCGGUAGAGGGUAGUGGAAUUCCGGUGUAGCGGUGAAAUGCGUAGAGAUCGGGAGGAACACCAGUGGCGAAGGCGGCUACCUGGACCAGCACUGACACUGAGGCACGAAAGCGUGGGGAGCAAACAGGG
rnacentral:rRNA from 1 species